ACGUACACUCCUGCGGAAGGCAGCAGUGGGGAAUAUUGCACAAUGGGCGCAAGCCUGAUGCAGCCAUGCCGCGUGUAUGAAGAAGGCCUUCGGGUUGUAAAGUACUUUCAGCGGGGAGGAAGGCAAUACGGUUAAUAACCGUGUUGAUUGACGUUACCCGCAGAAGAAGCACCGGCUAACUCCGUGCCAGCAGCCGCGGUAAUACGGAGGGUGCAAGCGUUAAUCGGAAUUACUGGGCGUAAAGCGCACGCAGGCGGUCUGUCAAGUCGGAUGUGAAAUCCCCGGGCUCAACCUGGGAACUGCAUUCGAAACUGGCAGGCUUGAGUCUUGUAGAGGGGGGUAGAAUUCCAGGUGUAGCGGUGAAAUGCGUAGAGAUCUGGAGGAAUACCGGUGGCGAAGGCGGCCCCCUGGACAAAGACUGACGCUCAGGUGCGAAAGCGUGGGGAGCAAACAGGAUUAGAAACCCUUGUAGUCCCAUGAU
rnacentral:rRNA from 1 species